CGAGUAGGUGGCCAUCUAGGUCAGACGUGAAAUCCCCCGGCUUAACCUGGGAACUGCGUCUGAUACUGGACGGCUAGAGUUUGGGAGAGGGAUGCAGAAUUCCAGGUGUAGCGGUGAAAUGCGUAGAUAUCUGGAGGAAUACCGGUGGCGAAGGCGGCAUCCUGGACCAACACUGACACUGAACCGCGAAAGCUAGGGGAGCAAACG
rnacentral:rRNA from 1 species